GGAGACGGAUCUGCGUCCUACCAGAUAGUUGGCGGGGUAACGGCCCACCAAGUCUAAGACGGGUAGCGGGUGUGAGAGCAUGACCCGCAUCACUGGGACUGAGACACUGCCCAGACACCUACGGGUGGCUGCAGUCGAGAAUCUUCGUCAACGGGCGAAAGCCUGAACGAGCGAUGCUGCGUGCGGGAUGGAGGCCUUCGGGUUGUAAACCGCUGUCGAAUUGGAGGAAAUGCAUAGUGUAGAAUUAUGCUUGACUGAUAGUAGAAGGAAGGACGGGCUAAGUUCGUGCCAGCAGCCGCGGUAACACGAACCGUCCAAACGUUAUUCGGAAUCACUGGGCUUAAAGGGUGCGUAGGCGGCGUUUUAAGUAAGGUGUGAAAUCCCACGUCUCAACCGUGGAACUGCGCUUUAUACUGGAAUGCUUGAGUAAGAUAGAGGUAAGCGGAACUGAUAGUGGAGCGGUGAAAUGCGUUGAUAUUAUCAGGAACACCGGUGGCGAAGGCGGCUUACUGGGUCUUAACUGACGCUGAUGCACGAAAGCUAGGGUAGCGAAGAGGAUUAGAUACCCUCGUAGUCCUAGCCGUAAACACUGAGCGCGGGGGGGGGAGAGAAGGCUCCAUUUUUUCCUCCCGUAGAGAAAUGUAAAGGCGUUCCGCCGGGGGAGUAUGGUCGCAAGGCUGAAACUUCAAAGGAAUUAACGGGGGCUCACACAAACGGUGGAGGAUGUGGCUAAUUUCGAGGUUACGCGAAGACCCUUAUCCUAGAUUUGACAUGCACGGGAUUAGUUUUAUGAAAGUAGAAUGACGAGCUUUGCUUGGAACGUGCACAGGUGCUGCAUGGCUGUCGUCAGCUCGUGUCGUGAGAUGUCGGGUUAAGUCCCUUAACGAGCGAAACCCUUGUCUUUAGUUGCCAGCGCGUCAUGGCGGGGACUCUAAAGAGACUGCCGGUGUUAAACCGGAGGAAGGUGGGGAUGACGUCAAGUCCUCAUGGCCUUUAUGUCUAGGGCUGCACACGUCCUACAAUGCGGCGUACAACGGGAAGCGAACUUGCGAGAGUAAGCAAAUCCCUUAAAGCGUCGCUCAGUUCGGAUUGCAGGCUGCAACUCGCCUGCAUGAAGCUGGAAUCGCUAGUAAUCGUGGGUCAGCAUACCACGGUGAAUAUGUUCCUGAGCCUUGCACUAACCGCCCGUCA
rnacentral:rRNA from 1 species